UACGUAGGAGGCAAACGUUAUUCGGAUUUACUGGGCGUAAAGGGAGCGUAGGCGGUUCCUUAAGUCGGAUGUGAAAUCUUCUGGCUCAACCAGAAGGCGCCAUUUGAUACUGGGGGACUUGAGAGCAGCAGAGGGAAAUGGAAUCUCCAGUGUAGCGGUGAAAUGCGUAGAUAUUGGAGAGAACACCAGUGGCAAAGGCGAUUUCCCAGGCUGCUUCUGACGCUGAGGCUCGAAAGCGUGGGGAGCGAAGCGGAUUAGAUACCCGCGUAGUCCACGCCCUAAACGGUGGACACUAGAUAUAGGAGGUAUCGACCCUUUCUGUGUCGAAGCUAACGCUUUAAGUGUCCCGCCUGGGGAGUACGGCCGCAAGGCUGAAACUCAAAGGAAUUGACGGGGGUCCGCACAAGCAGCGGAGCGUGUGGUUUAAUUCGAUGCUACACGAAGAACCUUACCAGGACUUGACAUGUCAGAAGUAGGAUUCCGAAAGGAGGACGACCUGUAUCCAGUCAGGAGCUGUCACAGGUGCUGCAUGGCUGUCGUCAGCUCGUGCCGUGAGGUGUUGGGUUAAGUCCCGCAACGAGCGCAACCCUUGUCCCAUGUUAAAUUCUCAUGGGAGACUGCCUUGUACAGCAAGGAGGAAGGAAAGGAUGACGUCAAGUCAGCACGGCCUUUAUGUCCUGGGCUACACACACGCUACAAUGGACGAUACAGAGGGUUGCCAAGGAGCGAUCCGGAGCUAAUCCCCGAAAAUCGUCCUCAGUUCGGAUUGCAGGCUGAAAUCGCUUGCAUGAAGUCGGAGUUGCUAGUAACCGCAGGUCAGCUAUACUGCGGUGAAUACGUUCUCGGACCU
rnacentral:rRNA from 1 species